GAGUGGAGAGCUGCAGUAAACACUUUGUGAUUUGGUCAGGAAGGUCCCUGGAGGCCAUACUGCUGGGAUCCAGAAGUGCUGGGAGCCCUGGAGACCGAGGAAGAGGUACAUUAGGAACUUCAUUACCGAGAAGCUCGUCUGUGGAGGUUAUCCCUGACCCUUCGGUUCCAUCCUGGGAAUCACAGAUCCUUCCAGUAGUUCCUGGUCCUACAUUCAAGUACCUCAAGAGGGUGGGGCUCAAUGGCUGGGGCCUCUUUUCCACUCCUGUAGGACCCCGUCCACCCUUGGGGCCAUCGGACGCGUUUUUCUUUCCAACUGGGACUUUCUUCCCUCCCUCACAAGCUUCUGAUCUCAUUUAAAACAGAACGCCACUUCCCGAGGAGAAGGAGGUGACAAGCCUUUCCCUGGCUCUGCCCGACAUUCUUUCGUGGCUCCUCCCUUCUGUUCCUCGACGCUCAUUUUUCCAGAUGGUUUUACCUUCUGUGACUGCUCACGUGGUCACCCGGCUGAUGCUGACCCCCGGGUCCCUUGCUCACCUGUGAUUCCUCAUCUUGGCUCACUGGGUUACCCUGGCACAGCUGUACUCACGGCGCAGGGUGGAGGUGGGGGAGGGAGGGGAAGGGAGCUAUUGAACAAGUGAGGAGCCGCACUGUAUCCUGCUCAGGCCCGGCUACGGAGAGUGCCCACUCUGUCAAGGCAGCAGGAGUCAAAGUCAGAAGCAAGCAGCCUAAUGGCCUGGGCCAAGUUUUUUAGAGGAAACUCAAAGAUGCAGGGCUAUUAAAAAUUGAUAUUUCAAUGA